CUUUAAGAUUGCUUGCCCAUGUCUGUAUUUGUACUUCACUGAUCUGUAACUAUAUUCCCUAUGUGCAAUGUCGACAGGUAAAAGUGCAGAGUUAAAAGCAUUCGUGUGUUUCUAACCGCCAGAGUUCAGCUGGGAUAUCCACGAACAGUGAAUCUCAACACUGUUCGUGAAAACAGCAAAGUACCGAAUGAGAGACCACCCCAGCAGGUCGUG